AUUGAACGCUGGCGGCAUGCCUAACACAUGCAAGUCGAACGGCAGCACGGUCUAGCUUGCUAGACUGGUGGCGAGUGGCGCACGGGUGAGUAAUGCGUAGGAAUAUGCCUUGAAGUGGGGGAUAACUUGGGGAAACUCAAGCUAAUACCGCAUAAUCUUUAAGGAGGAAAGCUGGGGACCUUCGGGGCUGGCGCUUUAAGAUUCGCCUACGUCCGAUUAGCUCGUUAGGAGGGUAAAGGCCUACCAAGGGGACGAUCGGUGGCUGGUCUGAGAGGAUGAUCAGCCACACUGGGACUGAGACACGGCCCAGACUCCUACGGGAGGCAGCAGUGGGGAAUAUUGGACAAUGGGGGCAACCCUGAUCCAGCGAUGCCGCGUGUGUGAAGAAGGCCUACGGGUUGUAAAGCACUUUCGGUGGGGAGGAGGAUUCAUAGGUUAAGAGCUAAUGGAUUGGACGUUACCCACAAAAGAAGCACCGGCUAACUCCGUGCCAGCCGCCGCAGUAAGAC
rnacentral:rRNA from 1 species